AUGGAGAACAAUCGUUUGAUCUGUUUGAAGAUUUUUCCUCCAGAAGCAAUUGCCCAAAGUAGCUACCACAUUAGUACUGCUACACAUGCAGUUCCAAAUGCAAUAGGUUCUUCUUGUAGAGACACAAAACCAACCCAGGGUGGUUGUUUUCUAGACCCAAUUCCCUCUAGUUCCAAACCAAGUUGCUCAAAGCUAAUGUUUGCCUACACAGGUCUAAUCUCUAGUUCUAGUGCCACACUACACAUACCUAGUAUUCAAAUAGUUUCCACAUCUCAGACAAAGCCAUGCUCUAGGCACUUGAGCAGUAUAAAAACACAUUCCAAAAUACAGUUGUGUUGUUCAACACACGUGCUGAACGAAGUUUCAGAAGGGCCAGCUUAUUGUGUAAUACAAGGGAAACAACUGUAA
rnacentral:rRNA from 1 species